rnacentral:rRNA from 1 species
GGCGGACGGGUGAGUAAUACUUAGGAAUCUGCCCAUUAGUGGGGGACAACUAGAAGAAAUUCUAGCUAAUACCGCAUACGCCCUACGGGGGAAAGCGGGGGAUCUUCGGACCUCGCGCUAAUGGAUGAGCCUAAGCCGGAUUAGCUUGUUGGUGAGGUAAUGGCUCACCAAGGCGACGAUCCGUAGCUGGUCUGAGAGGACGAUCAGCCACACUGGGACUGAGACACGGCCCAG